UGACGCGUCGGCGAAGCCUGGUUAGGACGUCGCCCUGACACGGCGAAGGUCGCCGGUUCAAAUCCGGCCGAGCCCA
rnacentral:tRNA from 2 species